GCCCCGGUAGCUCAGUUGGAAUAGCUGCCCACGGAUUGGGUGAAGGACGUGGGUUCGAGUCCCACCCGGGGAU
rnacentral:tRNA from 1 species